CUACGGGUGGCUGCAGUGGGGAAUAUUGGACAAUGGGGGAAACCCUGAUCCAGCAAUGCCGCGUGUGUGAAGAAGGCCUGCGGGUUGUAAAGCACUUUCGGUUGGGAGGACUGCUUCUAGCACUAAUAUUGUUGGAAGUUGACAUUACCUUCAGAAGAAGCACCGGCUAACUCCGUGCCAGCAGCCGCGGUAAUACGGAGGGUGUAAGCGUUAAUCGGAAUUACUGGGCGUAAGGCGCGCGUAGGCGGCUAGAUCAGUCGGGUGUGAAAGCCCCGGGCUUAACCUGGGAACUGCAUCCGAUACUGUCUAGCUUGAGUACAGGAGAGGAGAGUGGAAUGCCACAUGUAGCGGUGAAAUGCGUAGAUAUGUGGAGGAACACCAAUGGCGAAGGCAGCUCUCUGGCCUGAUACUGACGCUGAGGUGCGAAAGCGUGGGGAGCAAACAGGAUUAGAUACCUCGUAGUC
rnacentral:rRNA from 1 species